rnacentral:rRNA from 1 species
UACGGGGGGGGCAAGCGUUGUUCGGAAUUACUGGGCGUAAAGGGCUCGUAGGCGGCCAACUAAGUCGGAUGUGAAAUCCCCAGGCUCAACUUGGGAACUGCAUCCGAUACUGGAUGGCUUGAAUUCGGGAGAGGGAUGCAGAAUUCCAGGUGUAGCGGUGAAAUGCGUAGAUAUCGUAAGGAAGACCAGUGGCGAAGGCGGGGUCUCUGGACAGUUCCUGACGCUGAGGCACGAAG